AAAUUGAAGAGUUUGAUCAUGGCUCAGAUUGAACGCUGGCGGCAGGCCUAACACAUGCAAGUCGAACGGUAGCACAGAGAGCUUGCUCUCGGGUGACGAGUGGCGGACGGGUGAGUAAUGUCUGGGAAACUGCCCGAUGGAGGGGGAUAACUACUGGAAACGGUAGCUAAUACCGCAUAACGUCGCAAGACCAAAGUGGGGGACCUUCGGGCCUCACACCAUCGGAUGUGCCCAGAUGGGAUUAGCUAGUAGGUGGGGUAACGGCUCACCUAGGCGACGAUCCCUAGCUGGUCUGAGAGGAUGACCAGCCACACUGGAACUGAGACACGGUCCAGACUCCUACGGGAGGCAGCAGUGGGGAAUAUUGCACAAUGGGCGCAAGCCUGAUGCAGCCAUGCCGCGUGUAUGAAGAAGGCCUUCGGGUUGUAAAGUACUUUCAGCGAGGAGGAAGGCGUUGUGGUUAAUAACCACAGCGAUUGACGUUACUCGCAGAAGAAGCACCGGCUAACUCCGUGCCAGCAGCCGCGGUAAUACGGAGGGUGCAAGCGUUAAUCGGAAUUACUGGGCGUAAAGCGCACGCAGGCGGUUUGUUAAGUCAGAUGUGAAAUCCCCGGGCUCAACCUGGGAACUGCAUUUGAAACUGGCAAGCUUGAGUCUCGUAGAGGGGGGUAGAAUUCCAGGUGUAGCGGUGAAAUGCGUAGAGAUCUGGAGGAAUACCGGUGGCGAAGGCGGCCCCCUGGACAAAGACUGACGCUCAGGUGCGAAAGCGUGGGGAGCAAACAGGAUUAGAUACCCUGGUAGUCCACGCCGUAAACGAUGUCUACUUGGAGGUUGUGCCCUUGAGGCGUGGCUUCCGGAGCUAACGCGUUAAGUAGACCGCCUGGGGAGUACGGCCGCAAGGUUAAAACUCAAAUGAAUUGACGGGGGCCCGCACAAGCGGUGGAGCAUGUGGUUUAAUUCGAUGCAACGCGAAGAACCUUACCUGGUCUUGACAUCCACGGAAGUUUUCAGAGAUGAGAAUGUGCCUUCGGGAACCGUGAGACAGGUGCUGCAUGGCUGU
rnacentral:rRNA from 1 species